GCUCUGGAGAGAGAGAGAGACAUUCAUCUUUGAAAAUGACAUCUCUGUUCCCAGAAACAUUCGUACGCUUGGCGGGAUCGCAGGGAAGAAGGAAGGGGAGAAGAGAAGAGGGUUCCCAGGCCCCAUCUCUCUUACCAAGCAAGCUUCCUUCCACCUCUCUCUGAUUCCUGAGGAAGCUGGGGGUGUGGGUCCCUUCCGCUUUCUCUAAUCAUGAGCGUCAGCUUAAUUUAUUGAAAUUUAUUUAAAUGGCUUAAUUCCUUCUCCCCACCAGAGUUGGGGGAGGGGGCAGGAAGGAGGGAGAAGAGAGACAUAAAAGGCAACGGACAGCGCCAGAGACGCAGGGCAAUGUGUUUGCAAAUGUCGGGGUGAGCAGCAAGUCAGUCGGCUGGCUUGCAGGGUCCAGUUCUCCCUGAGGCUGAGCCUCUACCCUUCAACCAGGUAACUGGCCUGCGACGGGGGACGCUCAGAGCACACGAAGGAAAAGGAAGAGGGCCGGAGCCGGAGAGGCAGGCUGCAUCACGUGGGGGCUGGGCCCCUCUCAGAGGGUGGGCUGCGGGCCGUACCACUGCCUGCUGUUGGUGGUGGGGGAGGAGGGCGCAAGGGCCGGCCCCGGGGAAGCGGCAGCGGCCUGGAGCGAGGCCAGAGGGACUCCCCAGCUGUCGGACCUGGACGGGAGUCACAUCCCAGCCCGCAUACCUCUCCUUUCCCGUGGCUUGCUCUCUGCCGAUUUCCCUGCUCCCCCUCGUAAGUGGUACGACCCCCCCCCCCCAGUCUCCGUGCAGGUCUUCAGCCCGAACUGUGUGUGAGUUCCCACUGGCCGGGGGUCCCCGGAGCCUGUGGGACCGGAGCUGUGGGAGGGGCUGCCCAGCACCCUUCCCGAAGCGCAGGUCACGGAAGGAGGGCGUGCGGAGGGGGCUGGCUGCGAGGGAGCCGCAAGGACACCCGGGGGAGAGCUGGAGAGGUUGGCUCCCGGCCAGGCGAGCUGGACCAGGAGAAGCAGAGCGAAAGCGUGCAGGGGCGGGAGAGCCGCGGCGGGGGCGGGGCAGCCAGGGCUGCAGAAGCCCUCGGGGUGACCCAAGCGUCCAGAACCCCGGGCCCCUCCGCUUCGGAUGGAAAGAAUCGCGAGAACCCGCACGUAGGCGAGGAGCCGUGGGGGCGGGGAGUCCUGUGCGAAGGGGGCCAGGCAGGAGCCGAGCGCCAGGCUCAGCCCCUCAAACGGCCCCCUGCCCUCGAAAGCAAGGAGACUCGGCUUUCCGGGCAAAGAGGAAGGAAGCGAAGCACAGCCCCGCAGCUCUUGUCGCCCCGGCCCACCUCCUCCGCUCUGGGGCCGCCCCCUCCUCCCCAGGCUCGUUGGCCAGGGUCCCCCGGCCUCAGGUAGAAGGACUUCCGGCCCGGGACCCCGCCCAGGCCACACUCACCUGGGCCGCGGUCCUGUCGCGUGGGCCGUCCCCCGCACAGUCGCACCUUGGACAGCAGGAUGAGGAGCUGCUUCUGGCAGAGAGACUUGGUGCCGCGGGGACACACGCGCCGCUGCGCCGACACGGGCCGGCUGCCCCCGGGCUCGCGGACCUCCCGCUUCUGUCGGAUCAGGCUACUGGCCAGUGCCGCCAUAGCGCCCCGGGAGGAGACACCCCCAAACCGGCAGGCUCCCCCAAAGGAGCCCUCUCACCAGGGCAUGCUCAGGACCCAGCCCACCGCCCCACCCGCAGGACCUGAGGAUAAGCCCAGACCCCCGAACGUCCCCCCAAACCACCGGCUCCCCCAGUCCUGGGCCCUGCUCUAGCUCCGCAGCCUGUGCACCACUCGGCUGACCUCACCCGUGAAUUGUGUCCCUCAAAGAGGGCUCUCCCUUCUCGCCUCUCUCCCCACCUCUCUCUCCCCGAGUCAGGACCCUCCUGUGUGUCCACGCCGGGCUCAGGGUCCGCAGGCUUCUUCCCACCCUACCUGGGGGCGCUCCUGCCCAGCCCACUCCUGUAAUCUAAAGGGUGUAGGUCCCUGGCUUGGUGGACAUCAGCUCGCCCUGGCUGCUGUCAAUGUCAGAGGAUCCAGCCCUGGUGUUGUUCCCCUCUGCUCCACUCUACACGGAGUGGACCUCCCACUUUCUUCAGGUUCCCCCACAAACACGUCCAGGCUCACUGGGAGAGGGUGCCCAGACCCUCUGGCUGGAUGCCGCUCUUUCUCUCUGUCACCCCCAUUCUGGCAGCACAGGGCUCCAGCUGCUGGGAGCGUUUUCUCACCUUGUUACCCUCCUUUUGAAGUCACCCCCAAAUUGGCCUUUCCCAGCGCAUACGCCAGGUGGUUGUCUGGAGGACCCUCUGUCGCCCCAAACAAUGGGGCAUCGGUCGUUCUUGUUUGUUUUCCGCCCGCCCCUUAAAUUUCCAGAGGGACACCGGGCGCUACUUAAGAGCCCACACCCUCCAACCUAACCAGGCCCCCCAAAGAGGGGUGCACCCACGUCGCCACACUCCUCAAACGCGAACGGCCCCUUGACAAGUCAUAGCGCACCAGAGCCUCCUGCGACCUCCCUGGGACUAACACCCUGUCCUUUCCCCGACGCCCCUCAACCUGUCCUGUCCUGUUGAUCCGGGCGAUGGGGGCCGCGGGCUCCGGCUCCAGGCUCCUCCCUCCCUGUCUCCCGCAAGCCGAGGUUCCCCCCAGCGCCGGCCUGGGCGCCCUGGACCCCCAGGAGGGAGUGAGGCUGUCUCUGCAGAGCGCCCCGGUUCGGCAAAGUCAGAGCACUGAGCCCGGAGGCUGGACCAGGCAGAGCGGCGAGCGGCGGCGGCUGUGGGGAGCUCAGGCGGCGGCGGAGGCUCCCCCUCCUCGGCGAGCCGGCCCGGGGGCGGGGCAGGGGGCGGAGACGCCGGCGAGGAGGGAGGCGAAGCCGGGCGGGCGGAACCCCAGGGUUCCUCCGCAGCUCAGAGUGGGGACUGCCGGGCCCGGGCGGAGUGGAGGCAAGGCCUGCAAGCCUCGGGGCGCAGAGGAGACAGGGAGGCUGAUGUGGAGGGGCUGGGCGCACGGGGGAGAGGGAAUGGCAGACACAGAGAAAAUGUGAAGGGACCCUAGUGCCUGGGAGGGGAGUGAGGACAGAAAUGAAUGAGGAAAGUGUAUGUGGGGGCUGGGGUGGCUUUGCCACCCGGCCUUAACAUCUCUGCUUUGGUUUGAGUCAAACUGGUCAGAACCAGGUUUCCAAGAGCCGGCUCUUUCCCGCAUUUUGUCAGCAAAUGCAUCCCUCCCGGGAGUUCGCUGGAGACUCAGACUCAGGGACGGAAGGGGCGCCAGCUGGAUUUAGACAACUUGGGCCUCGGGCAGAGCUGGACGCGGGGAGACCUUUCGGAAGAGCGGCUUUGAGCCCGGGCGCCCACGGCCCGUGUGCGCGCCGAGGGAGACGCUGCCCAGGCCCCGGGGAGCAGCCUCUUUAAUGGGUCCCGUGCCCCACGCCCGCUAGCCCGCCCCCCUUGCGGGCCGCCUUGGCUUCCUCCACCGCCGCCCGCAAGGCCUGCGCGGGGUCCGCGCGGAGCUGGGCCAGCGCCCGGCGCAGGGCGGCGGCGCCCUGGCCCGCACGGAGCCUCCGGGCGCUCAGGAAGUAGUGGGGCAGUGUCCCGGCCUCGAGCACGCGGCUCAGCUCGUCCAGCAGCCCGAGGCAGCAAGCGCCCGCGUUUUCCGGCCGCGCCAGGUAGAGCGCGGGGAGCCGCUCGCACGCCCAGUAGAGCAGCGUCCGCAGGAGGUAGGGCGCCCCCGCCCGGGUCCCCGCCACCAGCGGCCGCAGCAGCGCCUGCGCCGCCGCGUGCGCCUGGAGCAGCGGCGCGGGCACGCGCGCCUUGAGCGCCAGCUCCUGGCGGGCGAAGCACAGCUGCCAGCCAGAGGUGCCCUGCCGCUCCGGGGGGCCGCCGGGCACGAGGUAGAAAGAGGCCGAGUCGGAGGCCAGAGGACCCGCCCACGAGUGGCUCCGGGCCGCGGCGGGCCAGCCUGCCACUGUCACCACCGGGAUCAGGUCGAAGAGCAGGAGGUGGCGUGGGGGCUCGGGAGUGGCCACGAGGACCGUGGUGACACCCGCGUGGCGAGCUGCGUGGACCAGCCGCGGGGCGCCAGGGACCGGGACCAGGGACUCUGCGACCUCAGCCAGCUUAACGAAGAACCACGACGCCACUUGGGUCGGGCAUAAGGUGGGCCAUGCCUCCGGCGCGCCCGACGCCUCCGGGACCGGGCUUCCGUCGGCAUCCAGGGCGUCACUGCUCGGCGUUUUCGGUGGUCCAGCAGCUUCAAGACUGGCGAUGUCGCCGCAGGGCGAGCGGGACCCUGAAAGGUCACCGGGUGAUUUUUCCAGAGACGCGCGCGGCUCAGGUUGUUCGGGGGCGUGAUCACGAGACUGGUCCACGGCGCUCUCCCCGUCCGUGGGGCCCUCUUUACUGUGGGUCUGGUUCAGAUCACCUUCUCUCGGGACAGGGGCUCCUAGGCAGUCCUGCCAGGCCUCCCGCACCGACGCUCCGCACAUCAGCUCUGGAAGGCGGAGCCAGGCGUGACAGGACUCCAGAUCCGGGAGCAGCUCGGGCCCGGUGCCAUCCAGAGAAAACACGGGCACGAGGAGCGUGAAGCCAGCAUCGUAAUGAGGUCCGCGGGCGUAGGGACCUAAAGGGGCCUGCCCCAAAUCUAGAGAACCUUCGCGAAUCCCGCCGCGGAGCAGCAGGAGCUCUGCCUGGGGAGGGAAACGAGGGUCCUGACGGUGAACGAGGCCUGAAGGGAGACAAGAAGGAUCGUGAAGGCGCCCCGGCCCAAAGCCGGGGUGGGGAACGGCGGGGCUGGGGUCUGCAGGUCCCCGCAGACUUACCGAGCAGAGAGAAAACGAAAUCCUUGGCCCGGAGAAGGUCGGCCCCGGGCUUGGGCCCUUCGCUCCACGCCUCCUGCACACCCAGCUCCUCGAUCAACUGGAUGCAGGGUGCGGCCCGGCGAAUCGGUUCACCUGACUCCGCAGGUAAAAAAAGGCUCUUCGGCCCCUCGGGGGAAAACAGUGGCCAACCUUCCUCACCAGCCUCUGUCCGCUUCCCCUUCCGCUGUUUCAGGAGGCCCACGGCCCGCGGGUUUCCGAGCCCAGGGCAGCUGAAAAGGCCGCGACCGUGAAGGAUUCCACAGGUAACUUCCUGGUGGUCACAGGUCCACGCCCUUUUCUGUUUGCUGCCCGGGUGGCUCCGGCUGGUUCCCGCCUCCUGGGAGAGAUCGGCCACGCCUUCCCCCUGCCGAGCUGUUGCCACCCUGGGAGUUGUAGUUCGUUGCCCGCAAGGUGUGUUGGAGCCGCGCCUACACACCCUUUCCAUGAAGUAGUGCCUACCGGAAGCUGCAGUUUCUUCUUCGCUCUCCACCGCAUACUUGUUUUGAGACUGGGCCCCACUGAGACGCCCUGGAUGGCUUGGCACUUGCUGUAUUGACAAGGCUAUCCUCGAACUCACAGAGGUCCACCUGGCUGGGACUCCUGAGUUCUGGUACAAAAGACCUUCAGCGCCUGCGCGCACGGCCUUGUUCCGUAGCCCAAGCUGGCCUGGAGCCACCACUGAACGCAGCUUCCUGGGUG